AGUGAACGCUGGCGGCAGGCCUAACACAUGCAAGUCGAACGGCAGCACAAGAGAGCUUGCUCUCUGGGUGGCGAGUGGCGGACGGGUGAGGAAUGCAUCUGAAUCUGCCCAUUUGUGGGGGAUAACCUCGGGAAACCGGGACUAAUACCGCAUACGACCUACGGGUGAAAGCAGGGGAUCUUCGGACCUUGCGCAGAUGGAUGAGCCGAUGCCGGAUUAGCUAGUUGGAGGGGUAAAGGCCCACCAAGGCGACGAUCCGUAGCUGGUCUGAGAGGAUGAUCAGCCACACUGGGACUGAGACACGGCCCAGACUCCUACGGGAGGCAGCAGUGGGGAAUAUUGGACAAUGGGCGCAAGCCUGAUCCAGCCAUGCCGCGUGUGUGAAGAAGGCCUUCGGGUUGUAAAGCACUUUUGUUGGGAAAGAAAAGCAGCCGGUUAAUACCCGGUUGUCAUGACGGUACCCAAAGAAUAAGCACCGGCUAACUUCGUG
rnacentral:rRNA from 1 species